rnacentral:rRNA from 1 species
UACGGAGGUCUCAAGCGUUGUUCGGAUUCAUUGGGCGUAAAGGGUGCGUAGGCGGCGCGGUAAGUCGGGUGUGAAAUCUCGGAGCUUAACUCCGGAACUGCAUUCGAUACUGCCGUGCUUGAGGUCUGGAGAGGAGACUGGAAUUUACGGUGUAGCGGUGAAAUGCGUAGAUAUCGUAAGGAACACCAGUGGCGAAAGCGACGUACUGGACCUCUUCUGACGCUGAGGCGCGAAAGCUAGGGGAGCAAACGGG